UACAGAGGGGGCGAGCGUUGAUCGGAUUUACUGGGCGUAAAGCGUGCGUAGGCGGCUUUUUAAGUCGGAUGUGAAAUCCCCGAGCUUAACUUGGGAAUUGCAUUCGAUACUGGGAAGCUAGAGUAUGGGAGAGGAUGGUAGAAUUCCAGGUGUAGCGGUGAAAUGCGUAGAGAUCUGGAGGAAUACCGAUGGCGAAGGCAGCCAUCUGGCCUAAGACUGACGCUGAGGUACGAAAGCGUGGGGAGCAAACAGG
rnacentral:rRNA from 1 species